CAGGAUGAACGCUAGCGACAGGCUUAACACAUGCAAGUCGAGGGGCGAAGCGUAGAAGUAGCAAUACUUGGUGGCGACCGGCGCACGGGUGAGUAACGCGUAUGCAACCUACCUAUCAGAGGGGAAUAACCCGGCGAAAGUCGGACUAAUACCGCAUAAAACAGGGGCACCGCAUGGUGAUAUUUGUUAAAGAAAUUCGCUGAUAGAUGGGCAUGCGUUCCAUUAGGUAGUUGGUGAGGUAACGGCUCACCAAGCCGACGAUGGAUAGGGGAACUGAGAGGUUGGUCCCCCACACUGGUACUGAGACACGGACCAGACUCCUACGGGAGGCAGCAGUGAGGAAUAUUGGUCAAUGGGCGGGAGCCUGAACCAGCCAAGUCGCCGUGAAGGAAGAAGGAUCUAUGGUUCGUAAACUUCUUUUGCAGGGGAAUAAAGUGCAGGACGUGUCCUGUUUUGUAUGUACCCUGAGAAUAAGGAUCGGCUAACUCCGUGCCAGCAGCCGC
rnacentral:rRNA from 1 species